AUUGAACGCUGGCGGCAGGCCUAACACAUGCAAGUCGAACGCGUGGCGGACGGGUGAGUAAUGCUUGGGAAACUGCUUUUGGGAGGGGGAUAACUUCUGAAAAGGGUACCUACACCCGACAACACACGAAUUGGCCCAACUGGGAUUAGCUUGUGGGUGGGGUAUCGGCUCCCCAUGGCGACAAUCCCUAGCUGGUCUGAGAGGAUGACCAGCCACACUGGAACUGAGACACGGUCCAGACUCCUACGGGAGGCAGCAGUGGGGAAUAUUGCACAAUGGGCGCAAGCCUGAUGCAGCCAUGCCGCGUGUAUGAAGAAGGCCUUCGGGUUGUAAAGUACUUUCAGCGGGGAGGCGUUACCCGCAGAAGAAGCACCGGCUAACUCCGUGCCAGCAGCCGCGGUAAUAC
rnacentral:rRNA from 1 species